rnacentral:tRNA from 1 species
GGAGAGAUGCCGGAGUGGUCGAUCGGGCCGCACUCGAAAUGCGGUGUAGGGGCAACUGUACCGGGGGUUCGAAUCCCUCUCUCUCCG